GGAUCAGGAACCUACAGUUGUGGACAAGUCUGCAAAGCUAGAAUUCUUCUAGCUACGCUCCCAGAAGGUUUUAAACUUUUCCAGCUGUGCUCCCAGAAGGUGUUUUUGCAGACUUGACAGCCCUUUAAAAAAGCCAGAAAGCUGAUUUGCACCCAUCUCCCCCAACAACCUGCCCACAGGUAGAACUUGAUUCAUGUUGAAGUGUGGGAUGAGAAAUGUGCUGAACUUCUCCCUUCAAAACUUUCUGAUACCUCAGAAUCUGCUUGAUGGUAGCUGUGUAUCAGAGAAUGAGAAAGGAAUAAUACAUCCUCUAAGGUGGUGAAGAAAUCUGUGAUAAUUUGCCAAUUCCAUGACCUUCAGCAGCUGUGCAGAAGAAAUGAGCUUUCCCAUGAUAACUAGGCAGGAAUUCAAAACUAAUCUAAAGAAAGCAUAUUGAAGAGCUGAAGUAACCUGGCUUGGUGAAUGAAGUGUAUUCAUAACCCAAGCUCGGUCUUGAUACUUGAAAGGUGUCGUGCACUCCAGUUCUCAGACUGAAACAGUGCAGAAAUACAAGAUUCUGUGUGGUGGCUCAAUUGCAGUGAAGAAUUGCCAGAAAUGGUUAACAGAAAACAGCCAUGAAUUGGAUUUUUGAAAAUGAGGGAUUGCAAGAAUGUUUUCUGAGAGUUGGGUACAAAACAAGUGUUUUUGAAAAGUUAUCUGCCUACUCAUAGCCAUGGUCUUAUGUCCUGCUGUUGUGCUAAAUUGAGAAAUCAAUCAAGCAGGGUUUUGAAACCACUGUGUUGCAUAGAGGUCAAAACAGGGCGAUAUGAAGUACCUAGAAAAUACAAAUGGAGUCACUGAGGCUUUCUAACUCUGGCUUUCUAACAAUUCAUUUUCUUUCUUUAUUAUUAUAUUUGGACUGUUUUUUGGGGUGUUUGUAGAACAGUGUUCAAGUUCAGUUAGAUUGCUUCUUAUGGUGAUGCUGCAGGAACCUCCAUUUAAGAGGAUGUCAAAGCUGUCUCUGACAUCCAAAACCAACAGUCCAAAGAGAAAAAUUCUUAAUAUUCUAUAAAAUGGGGAAAUAUGCACAGAAAAGUAUUUGGGGCUACAUUUUCAAACAGCUUUAGAGAAGCUGAGAUCUUGGAAAGAAAUGACUAUUAUGUUACUGGAGCUGCUAACCACAUGCAAAAUAUAGCCACCUUGGUAAAUUUUUAGAAGUGGCAAGUAUAGCACAAAGUAAUCAGUGUUGACUAAAUCUGAAAGAAAUAACAUAUAGUUUGUCUUAAUUUCUGCUUAGAAGACUUCAGAAUCCACUCAUAACAAAAUCAAAAUGUAUUACAAACAAGUGCAAAUAGUUACAAAAUACCUACAUUUAUGAAGGCAUUAUACAUAAACUCUUUUUCAGUAAAAAAAAAAAAAAAAAAAAAAGUUCUGCUUUGGCUGAAUAAGUCCUUAUGUGUAACUUUUUUUUUUUUUUUUUAAUCGCCGUGGUGGGUUUACAUUUUCAGUAGCAACUGCUUCAAUGGCUUGAAAGAUGUGGCCUAAAUGGGAAUGAAUUUUUACAAAUAGUUUGAAACAGAGGUUCUCAAAAUAUCACAGAUGCUGAGCUGCUGAUUUAUUGAACAGCUUAGGAAGAGCAAUGGUGUAAUCGGCACUGUCUUUUAUCCUGUUUUCUUUGAUCCAUUCUCACUGGAGUGAUUGACUGCUUGCCAUUUUCAAGCAAGAUGCAACCCCUGAAAUUGCACAAGCAAGGCUUUUAGUUAAGUUCAGCAUGAAUUGAAACUGAGGGAGGAUGCAUAAUGGAACAAGGUCCAUUUGGGAUUGCAGGAGAACUGGCAAGCUGCCCUGCUUGAUUAUGUUUAAGCCUCCUUUUAAAGAGUGACACCUGAUUGCUCUUCAGAACUGUCAGUUUGGAAUCUCCUUUGGG